UACGUAGGGUGCAAGCGUUGUCCGGAAUCAUUGGCGUAAAGCGCGCGUAGGUGGUCAUGUAAGUCCGCUGUGAAAGUCAAAGGCUCAACCUUUGAAAGCCGGUGGAUACUGCAUGGACUAGAGUACGGAAGAGGCGAGUGGAAUUCCUGGUGUAGCGGUGGAAUGCGCAGAUAUCAGGAGGAACACCAAUAGCGAAGGCAGCUCGCUGGGACGUUACUGACACUGAGGCGCGAAAGCGUGGGGAGCGAACAGG
rnacentral:rRNA from 1 species